UACAGGGGGCGCGAGCGUUGCUCGGAAUCACUGGGCGUAAAGCGUACGUAGGCGGGUCGAUAAGUCCGUUGUGAAAUCCCAGGGCUCAACCCUGGAACUGCAGUGGAGACUGUCGAUCUUGAGUACGGGAGAGGAGAGCGGAAUUCCUGGUGUAGAGGUGAAAUGCGUAGAUAUCAGAAGGAACAUCAGUGGCGAAGGCGGCUUUCUGGACCAAUACUGACGAUCAGGUGCGAAAGCGUGGGGAGCAAACAGG
rnacentral:rRNA from 1 species